GUAGAUAUAUGGAAGAACACCAGUGGCGAAGGCGGCUUUCUGGUCUGUUACUGACGCUGAGGCUCGAAAGCAUGGGUAGCGAACAGGAUUAGAUACCCUGGUAGUCCAUGCCGUAAACGAUGAAUACUAGGUGUUGGAGGGUUUCCGCCCUUCAGUGCCGCAGCUAACGCAUUAAGUAUUCCGCCUGGGGAGUACGACCGCAAGGUUGAAACUCAAAGGAAUUGACGGGGGCCCGCACAAGUGGUGGAGCAUGUGGUUUAAUUCGAUGCUACGCGAAGAACCUUACCAGCUCUUGACAUCUUCUGCCAACCUAAGAGAUUAGGCGUUCCCUUCGGGGACAGAAUGACAGGUGGUGCAUGGUUGUCGUCAGCUCGUGUCGUGAGAUGUUGGGUUAAGUCCCGCAACGAGCGCAACCCUUAUUAUUAGUUGCCAGCAUUUAGUUGGGCACUCUAGUGAGACUGCCGGUGAUAAACCGGAGGAAGGUGGGGAUGACGUCAAAUCAUCAUGCCCCUUAUGAGCUGGGCUACACACGUGCUACAAUGGAUGGUACAACGAGUCGCGAAACCGCGAGGUCAAGCUAAUCUCUUAAAGCCAUUCUCAGUUCGGAUUGCAGGCUGCAACUCGCCUGCAUGAAGUUGGAAUCACUAGUAAUCGUGGAUCAGCAUGCCACGGUGAAUACGUUCCCGGGCCUUGUACACACCGCCCGUCACACCAUGAGAGUUUGUAACACCCCUU
rnacentral:rRNA from 1 species